CUUCUUUCGCCCCAUCUUGCUCAAAGUUCCUGUUUCAAAGUUUACUGAUGACAAAUAUUCCAGCGUUCGUCUUCAAGUCCGGUGAACUUGGAGAAAUCUGGGUCCAAUCUUGAAAGUUAGAGCACGUUUCUAACUGAAAGGAAAUAAAAGGGGGACCUAAGCAAGCCCUCCUGGUUGCGAUACUACAAUGGCAGAAAUGUGAGAAUCCAAUGGCGUGGAAUGAUGUCAUUUUAUCGCUUCCUCUGCUUCGUCCUCUUGCAGAGGGGAAUUUUUUCGAUGCCAAAAUGAUCUCAUUUUCGAGUCAUUCUAGCAAAGAUUUCUGCUAAUUCAUCGUUCACAAGAUAAAAAGAAUAGUUUCUAGCUGCAUUGGGGGAAUGUCAAUACGAAGUUGCAGGGUAGAAUGCGAAUUAUCACCGGUUAAAUAUCAGCUUUGCUGCAGCCCGGAAAUAGAGAAAGCACUUACGAAGGCAGAAGGCUUCCCGCCAUUUUGGAUGUUUCAGGAAAUUUGGGACUCAAAAUAUCAGGAAUCGAGGCAGCUAAAGAUGAAAAUUGUACAAAUAUAUAUAGACCUUAGAUAAAAUCAAGGUAAACUUUAUAUUUGAUAAAGAAAAGUUAGGUUUUCUAGCUAUACGGUUCAUCUCUAAUGUUUUGCUAAACGAGUUAUCGUGUGUGAUGAGGAACCUUUCUUGGCGUUCACAACGAAUCAAAUAAUCUACUCGUAAAACCGCCAAUUGCUGAAUUUGUAUAAAAUAAUCGCCUAGCUCUUCACCUGAAAGUUUCUAAAAAUAAAUCAAGAGAUCACGCUAAAAUAUCCGAGUCGGCGGAUUUGAAUAUAAUUAUACUUCAGUUGGAGCUUGAAAUUUUAUGACGCGAAAUAUUCCACCGGUGUAUCCAGGGGUCGUGUGAAUUAUUCGCUCGAUUGUUGGUUAUAAAUUCAUAACGCGUGCAAUUCUCACUUACGCUGAUCUGUAGCUGUAAAUGCAAAUAAUAUGGCUAAAAAUAGGUAAGAGCAGAGUUGUGUACCUUGGAAAUACAAUAACUUUCAGACGAUAAUGAUUUGGUACAAAGAGCGAGCUGGUAUGCUGAAAUGUAGAAUUCGACCAAGAAAAUAUAAGUAACAUCUACCAUAAUUGAGACAAAAUAAUACUCUUCUUUGCAAACGGAUGUACUACGAAAACACUAUACCAGCAAAGUGGACGAUUAACGAAGAGCUUCUGCUCUAUUCCGGUAAAUAUGGAGGCGAAAACUCAGCAAAAAAAUCACAGAGGCCGUAGCGUUUCUGCAGGAAAUGCUAAGAAAACUGCCUGUAUCAAUGGCGAAUUUUCCCCGAUUUGAUUUGUUUUGGUUAUUAAAAAAAUCUUGCAGACUCCUUGUACAACCUUAUAGCUGUUUAUACUUCUUAAGGGACGGAAAUAAAAUGCAAAGAGCUAUUUUUACCCACCAGUAAAUUGCGCUUGCUACAGCUGCCCCACAAAGGUCUAUUUGUGGCUCUAGACUCAAGUUUGCAUUUUAGGGACAGACCCUGGCUCAUUUGCAUAUUAGGAGCGGUGUGAUGUCACUAUGAUGUCAUACGAAAGUUUGGAGAUUUCAGGCCCCAAUCAGAAAGCUAAAUAUUUUCCUAGUUUGUGCAGAUGGUUUGAGAAACUAACAAGUCGGAAAAUUAGCGUAAAAGGGGCGUAACAGACGUAACGAACGUAAAUAAAUUAUUGCAUUCGUCCUUGAUUUUGGAUACGAUAUAUUAUACCUCUACAGCGAGAUAAGCAGCGUAAAAAUUUUAGGAAUUUUAUUUUUCUGAAUUUUAGACGCAAAAUAUUACAAAUACACAAGUAGCAAGAGCAGUUAUCAAAUUUAAAACUAUUUACUUUGGACAUAAAUGUACAUACUUUGAGACGUUUUUGUUCUUGAUCGAAAUAUUUUAUUUGGAUGUCAACAAACAUAACAAUUUUUGUCGUUUUGUCGUUAAGAAAAAUUCUCCCACGUCAUACAAGCUUCCUGCUCUCUGAUGAGUGACAGUCUUCGUUUGAAGCGUGAAUAUCGCAUAUGCAAAAAACAACUAUUUUUUCGUAAUUAGAGAGGCUUUCUCGUAAACUGAAUCCCGCUAUUAGCUCUUGGAAAAUAUCAGUUUAGGUAUUUCCGCCAUAAAAAUUGUGAAUCCGUAGAACUUUCGCUUUCAACCAUGGCCUAAAAGUCAUUUGCAGGGUUUUUCCCUUCAUAGAUUCCUGCGAGAUAAGCGGCAUAAAAAUUUUAGGAACUUAGAAAAAAAAUUUUCUGAAAUGUUAGACGCAAAAUAUUCGCCUUUGAGAAAAAAAAACAAGUAGCAAGAGAAGUUAUCAAGUUUAAAACUAUUUACUUUGGACAUAAAUGUACAUACUUUGAGACGUUUUCUUCUUUAUCGACAUGUUUUAUUUGGAUUUCAACAAACAUCAUUUUUUGUCGUUUUGUCGUUAAGAAAAAUUCUCCCAAACUUAAACCGAAUGCAGCACAAAUAGCCUGUGACGUCAUACAAGCUUCCUGCUCUCUGAUGAGUGACAGUCUUCGUUUGAAGCGUGAAUAUUGCAUAUGCAAAAAAAACAACUCUUUUUUCGUAAUUAUAGAGGCUUUCUCGUACAAUAAAUCCCGCUAUUACUUUUUGAAAUAUAUUUGGUUAGGUAGCCAUAGAAAUAGUGCAUCCGUAGAACUUUCGCUUUCAAUUAUGGCCUAAAAGUCAUUUGCAGGGUUAGAAUGAAAUCCAAGGAAGAAAUAAGGGGAAUAAGCAGAAAGGAUAUUAAGGGUAAACCAAAAAGAUAGACAAAAAGAAAACAGAAACAAACAAGAAAGAAAUCGCAUCGACUUAGUGAGACCUUCGGUUAUUAAAUUAUCGAUUUAUCGGGUUUUCGACCGUAGGAAAUACAUUUAUGACCCACAAGCACAAAUACUGGAAGAUUUGAAGAAAAAAAAAUAUGCGAGAUAUGUUAGAGAGCAGGCUUAUGCAACCCACUGGUAUUGAUAUGACUUCCGAAUUCGAUUUCAUUUAUAAAACAGCAUCCGUAAGCUAUGCUCGAUAAUAGCCUUUAAUGAUACUCAUUGGUGCUCCAUUAGCCUAAAGCCAAAGCCUUUGAAAGAAAAGAAAGUUUGAGUAUUUAUGGGGCAUUUCUGAAUUUGCAUAAUUUCACCAAACUAAACACACUAGAAAAAAAAAAUACCCUCUUAUAUUUAUAAGAACUUUUUUCUAAGAACGGCCAGUCAAGGUUUUACCAUAGUUCAAGAACACGUCGAGAGGCUCAGAUAGCUGUAAAAUAUUUGUAUUGUUAGUGCGAUACGUUCUGAAAUGCUGAGACAAAUUGUGUUUAUAAUAUUGACUACCUUCAAGGGUGGUAUAGGGUAUUUUCGUGAAACGAGAUUUAAUCAUUUUUCACCCUCCGAGAAACGUGAAAUGGUCCAUUUCCACGUCCCUGAAACGUGAUUAAUUUAACAAUUUAAAAGGCAAUUUUUCGGUCCUUGAAACGUGACAAGCCAUUUUGCCCGGUCCGUGAAACGUGAUCCAUACCCUCCUUUACCAUACUAUUGUUGUUGAUGAUUUGUGUAAUUCUCUUUUUCCAUUGCUACCACCAUUAUAUUUCUAUAUUUCUAAGAACAUUUUCAGCCUUAAAAUAUUCCAAGAUUAAGAACGGCCAAGUCUGAGGGAAGCGUAAGGGUUUGCGGUGAUGCGGUUUGCCUUAAAUCUGGCGCAGUUUUUCGUUUUUUUUUUCUCUAUACUGCGCGUUUUACGGUUAAUGACUUAUUACGGUUUUGCGUUUUUUGGCGUUUUUCUGUGCGGUCUUCGCAACCCCUUACGCCCCCCUCAAGUCUCAACUGAACUUUAGACGUUCUUUAAAGGAACCAGAUAAGGAAGGAUUACCCGUGUAAGAAUUUCCAAACAUAAGUACGAUUGCUCGUAAAGGAAUUUGUAAAAAGUGGCACAAACUAUCUUGUAAAAACUGCUGUUGCACUAUACACCUAUUUCAAAUAAGGUUGCACUCGGAGAAUCUAUAUGUCGUGAACUGGGGUGGUUCACAGGUAUCAAAUAAAGAAAUAAACAAACAAACAAAUGAACAAAUAAACAAACGAACAAAUGAAGUAAUGAACAAAUGAACAAACAAACAAAAUAAAUGAAUGAAUGAAAAAUAAACAAAUAAACAUCCAAAUAAAUAAAUAAAUAAGCGCAAAUAAAAACAAACACAGGUUUGGAAGCUUUAGCAUUCUUGUUUAUGUAACUCUAAACGCUAACACCGCUACACCACGUUCAGAUACCAGGAUUCAGCUAUUUGUACGUUACCCAUGAACCAUUGCGGGUUUUCGUUUAGUUAAAAGCGCGAACAUUUAUGAGCACAAUAUUUGGCAAGAGCCCGCGAUACCGUUCGCUUUUCUUCAGUUAACCUGUGGUUUAUUUAUAUGUCAUUUGUGGGAGACUGGAUAUUGCGCGACAUGUGCAAAAGCUGCAUCAGGCGCCAAAAUAAAUCACAGGAGUGACUUGGUAUAAGGAAAUGUGGACUUUAAAAGCACACUAGCAUACACACAUUGGCACCAGUCGGCCGAAGACGGGACGGUAGCACAGUCUAUUACCCGUGCAGUUCGGCAACCAUGGACAGCUGUUUCGUCCUUAUUAGGACUCGUCAGCAUGGCAUUGCCGAUGAAGUUUAACUGAGGCAAACCGCAGAGCGAACAAACGCAGCUAUAGGUGAAACACUAACAACAGGAAGUCCUGUCGCACCACCUGGUGACCCUUUUCAUGGACUUUCUACCACUGAGUUGGAAAGAAUUUGUUUGAAGGAAAUAGAGGAGCACUGCAUUUCCUGGAAAGAAGAAAAUACCUGGUCAAUGGCUUAUGAAAUUGCACAGCGUAUUCAUGAGUAGCCUGGUCCAGGCAAGAAUGACUUUCUGGUCUCCAUUGCAAGCUACCACCCAGAUAGGCAUAUUCACCACCCAGAUAGGCAUAUUCACCACCCAGAUAGGCAUAUUCACCACCCAGAUAGGCAUAUUAACCUCUCGAAGUAUCUUUUGAAAUGGAGGAAAGCUUCUCCAUCCCAGCGACGCAAAAUAUGCGGGAAUGGAGGGUUUUUUUUUUCAAAACUUCAGAGGUUGAAGGAAACCCAAGUGAAGCAAGGACAAUACUACCUUGAAUACUUGAAGCUUUUCCUGUGAUACUACCUGCAAUACUUGAAGCUUUUACUGUGAUACUACCUGCAGUGGAUGCAAGGAAGGAUGGACCGGUGGCAUUCCCGUUACACGAUCUCCGUUGCCAGCCCAUGACUCCUUUCACCGGGAAAGUAUCUGCAAAUUGAGGCGACUUUCCCGAGAAAAAUCGAUAGUAUUCUGCCAAGCAUCCAACUGAAGCUAUUUCUUGAAAAAAAAAACUGACUAGUUCUGAUAACCAGGCAGUACGACAAGCAUACUCAAAGCUCAACGUCGAAGAAAACACUUGCAGAGAAUAUUCAGCACCUUGAAUUCUUGGCUUUAAAGGCGGA